AUUUGAUUUUGGGAUUCAUCUACAGCUUGGAAUAACAAAAAAUGAAGAGUUGUCCACUUGUUUUCUUGGGUAGGACUAAGAAGGUAACAAGGAGUUUCUACAACAAUUAUUCACACGAUUUGGCUCCAAAUCUCAAUUUUCAAAUGUAAUUUGAGAAUAUUGUUUUCGAAAACUGAUUUUGUUGAUACCUAUGAAAGCUAGGGAGAAAGUGCCACCCUUGCUUUUUUC